GACGAACGCUGGCGGCGUGCUUAACACAUGCAAGUCGAACGGUAAGGCCCUUCGGGGUCCACGAGUGGCGAACGGGUGAGUAACACGUGGGUGAUCUGCCCUGCACUUCGGGAUAAGCCUGGGAAAAUGGGUCUAAUACCGGAAAGGAACCUGGGAAGCAUGUCCAGGGGUGGAAAGCUUUUGCGGGGUGGGAUGGGCCGGCGGCCUAUCAGCUUGUUGGGGGGGUGAUGGCAUACCAAGGCGACGACGGGUAGCCGGCCUGAGAGGGUGAACGGCCACACUGGGACUGAGAUACGGCCCAGACUCCUACGGGAGGCAGCAGUGGGAAAUAUUGCACAAUGGGCGCAAGCCUGAUGCAGCGACGCCGCGUGAGGGAUGACGGCCUUCGGGUUGUAGACCUCUUUCAGCACCGACGAAGCGCAAGUGACGGUAGGUGCAGAAGAAGGACCGGCCAACUACGUGCCAGCAGCCGCCGUAA
rnacentral:rRNA from 1 species